rnacentral:rRNA from 1 species
GACGAACGCUGGCGGCGUGCUUAACACAUGCAAGUCGAACGGAAAGGCCCUGCUUUUGUGGGGUGCUCGAGUGGCGAACGGGUGAGUAACACGUGAGUAACCUGCCCUUGACUUUGGGAUAACUUCAGGAAACUGGGGCUAAUACCGGUUAGGAGCUCCUGCUGCAUGGUGGGGGUUGGAAAGUUUCGGCGGUUGGGGAUGGACUCGCGGCUUAUCAGCUUGUUGGUGGGGUAGUGGCUUACCAAGGCUUUGACGGGUAGCCGGCCUGAGAGGGUGACCGGCCACAUUGGGACUGAGAUACGGCCCAGACGCCUACGGGAGGCAGCGGUGGAGAAUAUUGCACAAUGGGCGGAAGCCUGAUGCAGCAACGCCGCGUGCGGGAUGACGGCCUUCGGGGUGUAAACCGCUUUCGCCUGUGACGAAGCGUGAGUGACGGUAAUGGGUAAAGAAGCACCGGCUAACUACGUG